CAAGCGCAUGCGUACCGUCUUUGCGGCUUCCUUACAUUGCGGUGCUGGAGCCUUGCCAGUCUGCAGUGGCAGAGCAGCUAUUGUCGCCAAAGUGCGAGGUUUCUUUCUCAGGUUUUGAACAAGGGGAAUUAGAUUUUGUCAGGGGAGAGGGUACCCAAUUUCCGCACUAUGUCUGGUGAGUCAGACCAUCAUCAGGCUGCUCCCUCACAUACUGGGUUAGGCCAGCCAAAUCCUGAGAGAGAACGGGCUGGAAUCCUGGGAGGGGUGAUUCCAAGGGCUGGCGCCUAGAGCCUAGGUCCUGUAUCCAAAAAAUUCUUGACAGAGUUAUGGACUCCCCUCGCCAGUGGGUCACCCUCUCGGAGGUGGUGCCUAACGCUGUGUGAGCCAUCCAAAGAUAACUCUUAGAGGAUGAGCCACCAGACACGGUGCCCAGGCUUCCCCUUUACUGAUAUGAUGUGAGCAUCUCAGACGGGGUGUAUAAAAGUGCUACCUGGAACCCAGCUUGAACUCUCUCAUACAUAAAAAUAUUCUUAAAAUUGGCAUAGAAGUGAAUUUCUAGAGUAUCGUAUCUCCACAAUGAGAGAAGUUUAGGCCAAGGGAUCUUGUGCAUAGAUAGCAUCCUCUGUGGGGAAACAUUGGACUUGAUCUCUUUAGAAACUCCCUUCAGAAAUAGAGCGCGCCAAGAGAAACCAGAGGCCUUUAAGGGGCAGGAGAGCUCGUUACCUGGAACUGUGGAAUAACGAAGAUGUAUAUAGAUAUCUGACUGAACAUCAGGCAACCUGAGGAACACAAUUUUAACAAAAUCUGCCUGAACUUUCAGGAUCCUCAAACUAAUGUAGUUAUCAUCCCAGAAAAGGAGGUAAAACCAGACUGGAAAUUGCCAGAAUUAAAUCACCAAUUUGUCACAAGGCCGACAUUCCAACAAGUGGCGCCCAACGUUGGGCCCGAAGAAGUGAGUGAAUAUUCCAUAAUCAUAUCAGGAACCAGCAGAAAAGACCUUGUCAAAGGUCAAGUGAGACAGCCAAAGCAGAGCGACUUGAGUCAUCAAGGUUAAGUAAGUAAAUAACAUUUCCGUGAAGUCAUCAGGUAUGAGUAAUCAACCAGGACAUCUGGAAGAACAUUCCAAAGUGUUAAAAAACUUUAUUAAAUACUACAGGGGUGCCAGUUAGAACAGGUGAUUUGUUAGAACUCUUUGCUUUAGUUCAAAAACAUUGUUAUUGGUUUCAACCUCAAGAUAAAAAACUUUUAAAUUUGAAACAGUGGAAACAAGUAAUGAAGGCUUUACGAAGAGCAUAUCAAAAAGGAGAA
rnacentral:lncRNA from 1 species